GGACGAGGAACUCAAGCACGAACUAUAACAGGCAAGUGCAGAAUCUGAACCGUGGUGGUGGCCGAAGGAAUUGGCUCAAAAUAGACUCCAGAUUAAAUCAUGAAGAUAGACCCAAUUGUAGUCUGGCCAAGAACCUUUGAGAUUCGAUCAAGGCCAUGACAAGCAACCAUAUAUGAUAGGGCAGCAUAACGCUCUUCAUUCAAAUACAAUGGUUUUCCCCGAC
rnacentral:misc_RNA from 1 species